GAGAGGGCGGGAAUAGGCGCAGGCGGAUGCCAGAGUUCUGCAGGAGAGUGGGGGUAAUCCAAAACCGAGCCUUGGUGAAGGUCGGUGUGCUGCCGGGUCCCGGAAUCCCAGGCGGCCCCACUGCACUGCUUGGCUUUGCAAUUCAGCGGGUGUUGGCAUUUUCCCCCGUUGCUUUCUUGACCUGGAAGUUUGUCUACCGCACAGCGCGCGUUGUUGGAGGGGGCGGGGGGCCUGGCAGCAGAAUCUCCCUCCUCCUGUCUCUUUCUGUGUCCCCUCCCCCAAUCCAUCCAAAGUCCACAGGGUCCGAGUCUCUGGGAGAUGUGGGUGUCUGCCUCCCGCAGCGCGCUCUUGAAAAGUUGAUUGGGGCGGUUUCCUGGUGGGGGCGGGGAGACCGGAGGCGCGGCGCCCGGGAGGAGGAAGGAGUGGGUGGGGAAGCGCCUCGGGUGAAGAGUUGCAACCUUGGCGUGAAGUUGUGAGAAAACUGAUCCGGAGACAUCUUUUACAAACAAAAACAAACGACUAUGCGGGAAGCCGUGGGACUCCUGGGGCGUCUGGGGGGUCGCGAUAGUGACGGUGGGAAGAGGGCCGGAGAGGGGGUGCCCAGGCGCCACGAAGAGGCUGCAGUAGUUUGGGGUGUGCAGUGCACGAGAGCAGUGUGCUCAGCUUCCAGUCUUCCCCUUUUCCAGGCUUGGGGUUGGCACCAGCUUCCCCAGACAACAGCAAACCAUGCCCUCCAUAGCUCACUAUUCAGGGAGCCCCUAACUCCCUAAUUCCGCUGUGGGUAUGAACUCGGGACCACCACCGACUAGGGCGAUUGCUCCAGACUUGGUGGACGGAUCCGGGUCUUGAGAGCCUUAGCCUCGAAGAGUUACUCUAUUGUUUCAACCGCAUCAUUUCUAGGUUUAACCGGGAUUUCUCCAAAGUGAAGUCCGAAGGUGGUAGGGUUGGGCGGUUCCACUUUUGUUCCUCAUUUUUGUUUUGGGGGGAGAGGAUGCUAGAAAGGCACAUCUGGCCCUAAUAUGGAAGGAAGUAAGGGUGGGCGGCCAGCUAGCAGUAGCUGGUAUUUUGGAAUUGGCUUUUUGACCUCACUCGCGAUGUAGGGGUCAGAAUUUCCACACAGGGUUCGAGAGCUGAGUUGGGAGAAAUGCUGGCGGAAACGCAGUUGCGAUGAACCUGGGCUGGCAGGGAAUCUGGCUCUGGAAAUGGCAUACCCUCUUCGGACGAACUGGGAGGUCGCUACAGCGAAUUUAAUGGUUGAUGCUCGGUGGGAUUGUUGGGUUUUAGGGCUCUGCCAACGCCCCUUUUCUGACUCCACCCGCAGUGCCCAGCAGCCCCGACGCCCGCGGGCAGACCCACCUUGCCGCCAGCGUCGCCUUUUCAUUGGAAACCGAAGCGAGCCGGGACCCGCAGUGCCACUCUUUGGUGCUCCGCCCCGUCCUGACCUUUGGAUGUCGGGCCCCUAAAGCUUUCUUCUCACUCCCCUGCACAUGCAUACUUGGUCUCCGGCUCCCAGUUGUUGGCCAGGGCAGCGCAGAGGACUGGUUAACUCGCGCGCACCAAUCCCCUCCACCGGUCUCUCUCAGGCCCGGGCUCAGGGCAGAGCAGGGAAUGGGAUGGAGGAGGCGGUUCUCCGACUUAGCUGGCGGGCUCCAAGGGCUUGGACUUGGCUUCGCGCUUCGCGCUCCUCCUGCGAAUCUGACACUUCGCGGAGCGAGCCGACCGGUACCCGGUAGUAUCCUGGCACCCCAGCAGGUGCUAAGAGCCGCGUAGCGCGGGGUCCUUACUUUCUCCACCUGGACUCCGAGGCGCCUCCCAGCCCGCGGCGCAGGGUGAGGCCCGCGGGGAGGAGCCGGUCCAGCCAAGCAGCCCUUACCCUCUCCCUACCCCAGCUGUCCGGGUUCUCGCCGCUAACGCCCUUGGCUCAACCGCCCCUUUCUGGAAUCUCUAGUGGCCCCUGCCCCGGGUGGCUCGCCUCCGCCCCUGCCCCAGCUGGGCUCCUUCUCAUGCAAAGCAGAGGGGUCAUGAUGGGGUGGGGGACGGUCGGUGGGGACCUACGGGGCGACAGCUGGACCUGGCUGCCGGUCCUUCCCGAACCCAAGGCCCGCCGCCUUUCUCCGGUGGGCAAGAGGAGGUUGCUCCAUCCUUUCAGGGGUGCAGGGACCUUGGGACAUAGAUGUGGGGGGAAGGGGGCCUCUCCCCACAGAGAGGCCAGCGCAGUAGGGAAUUGGGGGCGAGGACAGGACACUGGCUCUAGGGCAUGGGCUCUGCUUGUCCUGGUGUCCAGGUGGCGCAGUAAACAGGUCCAUGGGCGCCAACCGUGGCGCCUACGAGGGCGUCUGGGAGCGCAAGGCAAGGUGCAUCUCUUGGCUCCUGAUUCUAGGUUUAAAGUCCAGAUUUAACGCCUCCACGGGGACAGCACACUAGACUAAUGUUGUUUUUCGUUUUAAUUGAGUUUUUAUUUUAAAACGUAAUCAGUCGCAGAGAUACGGAGAGAAAACUGACCGAGCUUUCUAAAUUCGCCUCCGAAGCCGCUCGGCUCAGUUCUUCAUUUAAGCCGAUGCCGGUCCAGCGGUGAGCACCAGCCUUCCCUCCUCACCUUCACCGACACCAUCUGCGUCCUCAAGUACACACGCGCUUCCCUACCCAACGUCUUCCAAGUCACGCAGACCCACAACCACUUACAUCGCCCCAGCACGCAUACAUUCUGGAAGAGGUGCCCUGAGGGUCAUUUUCAGGGCAGGUCCAUCGCUCAGUGACCGCAGAAUCCUUUCCACUCCUCUGCCAGGCACCCUCGGAAAAGGCCCCAGAAGGCCCAGGAAGCGGCUUUCAAGGCCCAGCUUUCUCUUCUGAGAAGCUCCUUGAAGAUCAGCCUGAGAGGAGGGAGCCUGUCCCGGAACUAGGAGUGGAGAGGGUUCUGUCAGCCCUCCCCAGUCGCCCUGCAGUGUGGGGACCUGAAGGCGCCCCCUCCCGCACACCCUUUCCUCCCGCCGCCUCCUUGGUCCCGAGCCCCACCUUCCCUCCUUCCCGCGACGUUCCCGAGUGGAUUGCGCGGCCCAAGGACCGAGCCUACCCAGUCACCGCGGCUGCUAUUGACCCCGAGAGUGGCGGCCGCCCCUGGCGCCUUCCCUCCUCUCCCAUCGCGCUUCUGUCCAACCCACGGCCCCCAGAAAAGGGCCAUUAGGUCGCGAAAGGAGGCGCCUGGGGCGGAGCCGGCUCUAGGUGGUUGCUCUGUGCGGAGCCGCGGGAAUCGGCGCAGCCAGCCACGCCCGUCCAGGAGGAGAGAGGAAGGAGCCAGACAAGAGCAUCCCUGGAUCCUGCCCAUCCCGGAGGCAGCGCAGACUCCAUACAGACUCGGAGACAUCCCAGGGCACUGGGCUCCGAUGAGCCAACUUCCUGACUUCAGCAGUGUGAAGAUGCUACGACACUUUCUGGUGCUGGCAUUCAGCUGUCCCCCAAGCAGGUUGGCUGAUAUUCAUGCUGAUCCCUGGAGAGGGGCCGGGGGCUGUCUGAAAAGAUACUUCUGAUGACUUCAUUGCUGGUGGCUGAGGAUUUGGGGAGCAGGGGUGGGAAGGGCGAGUCCAAUUGCUGUUUAAAUUGGACUUGGCCCCCUUUACCGCAUAGUCUAAGGGAUCUCAGUAGGAGGAAAGGUAGUGAGAGAAACUUAGAAGGCAGGAAGGCAGGCAUAAGGAGGAGUUCCUUGUCUCAAUCUAGGUACUGUCAUGCCAAAAUGAAGCCCCGAGGUGGUUAAAAACAGACUCCUAGAGAGCAGAGCUUUUGAGUUUCCAUGUGGGAUCUUGGCCUGACUCUUGGGAGAUGAAGAAGUUUUGGGCAAGUUUGAAAAGACCUACAAAGUGCCAUUUAUUCAUAAUCUUUGGGGACUAAAUGCAAUGUCUCAUCACUGCCCAGUGGCUGCUAAGGAAGCCUUCUUAGCUUAUAUGUCGCUCAUUUGUGGUUCUGCCAUCUUCUUGCUCAUGUUCCAGUUUGGUCUUGUAGAAGAAGACCAAGCUUUCCCAGCUCUUUAGUUUUUCUUUUGCCUCCAGCUAUCCAUAAGUUAGCCAACAUUCUAGUCCACUGGCCAGCACACAAUUUUGGAAGGUGAGCUGGCAGGCCCAUAACUAUGUGUGCAAUGUUGUUUUCAUUUGGGCCCUAGGAAGUGUAUAGUUUCAACCCUUACAAAAGCAAAGCAGGGGAGCAUUUCUAUGAAAUCUUUCGAUGAAGAAUUUACCACUAAUUUGAUAAGUGCAAUGCUCCAUUUCCUCCUUCUGAAUGAAUACCUUUGUCAGUCAGUGCUGAGGGUCUGCAGAACCUGUAAAAAUGCUUCCUUUGGUCUCCCUGUUUUAACACAUGCUGGGGCUUGGGCCUUCCUCUGACAGACUGGGGAGGGGCAGACACAUUCCAGAGACCAGGUCUUGGAGUGUUAUCUCUUCCCCUACCUCAAACCCUCACCCUCCACUUUAUCUCUCUUUGCUACAAAUGCAGAGACCUCCUAGAGAAGUGUGAAGGGAUGGGUUUUAAUCAGGUUUGGGGAAGGAAGGAGAAGAAGGUGAGCCCAAAGAAAUAUGGGGACAGGUGGGAUUUUUAAAUGACACUUUUCUGUUAUACUUCUCAUAUGUUGUGUAUUAUAUCCUACAAAUUGUGCGUUUGUUGCAGUAAUUUACAAUGUAUGUGUGUGCUUGCCAAAUGCUGCUUGGCCAAAACAGUGUUAAAUAAAAUUGUGAGAAAUGCU